AUGCAAGUCGAGCGGUCCAUAUCUUCAACACUGAGUAUUCGGUGGAGAUGACAAGUCUAAAAUAGACAGCGUCAAGCACGAAAGCAAAGCGUGCUUUACGGGUUUAAAAGCUUGCUAACACAUCAAGUCAUUGGGUAUUGAGUGUUGGAGAUUUGGAUAGCGGCGGACGGGUGAGUAACGCGUGGGCAACCUGCCCUGUACAGAGGGACAACAACGGGAAACCGUUGCUAAUACCUCAUAAAACCCUAAAGGGGCAUCCCUUAUGGGUCAAAGAAUUUCGGUACAGGAUGGGCCCGCGUCUGAUUAGCUAGUUGGUGAGGUAAUGGCUCACCAAGGCGACGAUCAGUAGCCGACCUGAGAGGGUGAUCGGCCACACUGGAACUGAGACACGGUCCAGACUCCUACGGGAGGCAGCAGUGGGGAAUAUUGCACAAUGGGGGAAACCCUGAUGCAGCAACGCCGCGUGAGCGAUGAAGGCCUUCGGGUCGUAAAGCUCUGUCCUAAGGGAAGAAAUUUGACGGUACCUUAGGAGGAAGCCCCGGCUAACUACGUGCCAGCAGCCGCGGUAAUACGUAGGGGGCAAGCGUUAUCCGGAAUCACUGGGCGUAAAGGGUGCGUAGGCGGUCUUACAAGUCAGGGGUGAAAGGCUACGGCUCAACCGUAGUAAGCCUUUGAAACUGUAGGACUUGAGUGCAGGAGAGGAAAGUGGAAUUCCUAGUGUA
rnacentral:rRNA from 1 species